AGAGAGAGGUGGGGGUUUCCAUCUGAUGCAAGAUGAGCCCCAGGCAAAGCUGUGGGAAGCUGAUGUUUGUCUUUGGUGCCGUUCUUGUCUUUCCCACUAAACAGAAGCCUCUUCUUAAAAGCACAUACACAACUGUCUGAGGAUUCCCCCCCAGCCUUUUCUUUAAGCACCUAUAGAUUCUCUCUAAUGCUCAAGAGUAAAUCCAAGGAGUGGAAUGAAUGUCUUCAGCUGGCCCACUCAGCUAGAAUUUGAUCACAUGUUCAUGGCAAGCAAGUAUAGGUAAGAAUCUGGACCAGGCUUACCUGGGCACUCUGUCCUCAGGUUCAAAGGAGUAUAAUGGCAGAGGAAAUCCUGGUGAUGACUGAGAAAGAAGUCAAUUGAAUUAUUUAUGUCCUAGAUGUUCAGCUCUUUCAUCACCGGCGGGUAGUAACCAGCAGAAUGCCGGAAUUGGAAGGCACUUUGGAACUAAUUCAAGCCUCACCUAUACAGGGAAAGAGCCCUGUAUUUGCUCCAGAAGGCAUUCUCCGAGCGCUCUGCUUGGCCUAUUAUACAGCUAGCUCAAGAUU